rnacentral:rRNA from 1 species
UACGUAGGGUGCGAGCGUUGUCCGGAAUUAUUGGGCGUAAAGAGCUUGUAGGCGGUUUGUCGCGUCUGCCGUGAAAAUCCGGGGCUCAACCCGGGAACUGCGUCCGAUACUGGAAGGCUUGAAUCCGGGAGAGGGAUGCGGAAUUCCAGGUGUAGCGGUGAAAUGCGUAGAUAUCUGGAGGAACACCGGUGGCGAAGGCGGCAUCCUGGACCGGCAUUGACGCUGAGGCGCGAAAGCCAGGGGAGCAAACGGG